AGUAGAAUGGCUGAGUUUAAAAUAAGUGGUAGAUUGUAAAUCUAUUAAGGGGUGUAUUUAACCCUUCUACUA
rnacentral:tRNA from 1 species